CCCUUAGAUGUCCUGGGCCGCACGCGCGCUACGCUGAGUGUCUGAGAUACGAGUCUGCCUGGUCCGGCAAGGUCUAGGUAAUCGCUAAAAGACACAUCAUGCUUGGGAUAGAUUAUUGCAAAUAUUAAUCUUGAACGAGGAAUUCCCAGUAAGCGCAAGUCAACAGCUUGCGUUGAUUACGUCCCUGCCCUUUGUACACACCGCCCGUCGCUACUACUGAUUGGAUGUUUAAGCGAGGUUCUCGAACUGCUAGCGACUUAGCUUCGGUGAGGUCGCAGUGUGGGAAGUGAACCUAGCUUUGGUGUCUAGAGGAAGUAAAAGUCGUAACA
rnacentral:rRNA from 1 species